GAUGAACGCUGGCGGCGUGCCUAAUACAUGCAAGUCGAGCGAAAAGACGAGGAGCUUGUGCCUCUGACGUUAGCGGCGGGCGGGUGAGUAACACGUGGAUCACAUACUUAUAAGACUGGGAGAAUAACGGGAAACAGGAGACAAUACUGGAGAAUAUAUUGAACCGCAGGGAUCAAUGGAGAAUGACGGCUUUGCCGUCUCUAAUAGAUGGAUCCGCGCCGCAUUAGCUAGUUGGUAAGGUAACGGCUUACCAAGGCGACGAUGCGUAGCAGACCUGAGAGGGUGAUCGGCCACACUGGAACUGAGACACGGUCCAGACUCCUACGGGAGGCAGCAGUAGGGAAUCUUCGGCAAUGGGCGAAAGCCUGACGGAGCAACGCCGCGUGAGUGAUGAAGGUCUUCGGAUCGUAAAGCUCUUUUAUUAGGGAAGAACAGAUGUGGAAUUAACUAUGCACGUCUUGACGGUACCUAAUCAGAAAGCCCCGGCUAACUACGUG
rnacentral:rRNA from 1 species